UAUUAUGCGAAGUUGGAGGCAACAGCUACUUAUUCUGAUCAACAUUCCUGGUAAAAAAAUAGUAAAUUUCAAUCUAACAUAAUUCAAACUCAGUCAAAUAGUGCCUAGCUACCCGCCCUCUAACUUUCCCGUUCUAUCUAUUCACUUACAGACUGCCUGCCCAUUUAUCUGCCCAUGAUAGUUUUCCAAUUCACGACUCCACCAGUGUUGUUGGUUUCAUCGUUCUUGUUCUUUCAAAUUCUUCAUUUGGUCUUGUACAGUGAUAAAUAAUUAGCAUUUUAAGUCGAGGUUUGGAACCGUCCUUAAGUUGAAGCAAAGAUAGACACAAAAUGCUGGAGUAAAUCAGCGGGCCAGACCACAUCUCUGGAGAGAAUGAAUAGGUGACGUUUCGGGAAGAGACCCUUCAGUGCCCUUAAGUUGCAGCAACACUGGAAAUGUUUAAGAAAUGUAAACUUAAUUAAGUAAAUCAAUCAGCCAGUAAUAAUUAACUUGGAUUUAGUGUAUAGUAUUAUCAAUAAUUCACAGUCCACUUGUUUAUAUCCAAAAUAUCCAUGGGAAAAAAAUUUGAACAUUUACUCUUAAUGUGGUAAUUAAUUUAGCGAAAGCCCGUGAGGCAUGUCCCCUGUGAAACAGAAUGUAAUGCAGCUGCAAUAAGCGGUGUCUGCUGGAGUGAGAAUGGGUUUUUGCUGAUUUUUUUUGGGUUGCAAAUGGCUGGGUGUUUCCAGUGCUGGCAAGGUAAGGGGAGAAAGAGUGGGACUGAUUUACAGAUGCACAUUGCCACCUAUCGGCAGCCUGGAGCCCCCGCAGGUGGAACCGCUCCAAAGUUGCACGGGCUCCAUUCCCCCAUUGGCAACAUUUGGAACACAUUUGCUGACCAAACGUAAAGGCAAAUAAGGUAGAUUUAUAAUUUGUUUAACUUCAAGAAGAAAACCACAUUUCCUUUUCAGGGCUGGGUAAACGUUUUGCAGUUGUGCAGCACAGUGAUUUAACUGUCUCUUCCCGGUUAGUAAUGAAGCAGCUCUUGAUAAUCCAUCUCCCAAAAAUAUGGUUAAACUAUGUGCUUGGUAAAUGCAGCUAACCAAUGUAAUGUAUUCCCCCCAAAGGAAUUUGUAAAUGCUUCUUACAUUAAUAUACCAUACUACCAGGUGCCAAAUAUUCAGCGGAAUCACAUCCACGAAAAUGUCGGAGUGAACCAUUCUACCAUUCUACCGGAGAUGAAAUGUAAGGUAAUUAAUUCUUUACGAUGUUUUGCGGGGGGAAAUACAGGUAACUCUCGGCUUCGGAAAUACGUACAAGAAUGUUGAUGCCUACUUUCAUGUAUUUUGUGGACUUUGAGAUGGUUAGCGGUAAAUUGGAAGCCUUAAGAGUUCUUCAAAUCGUUUUACUAACAAAUGGUAAUCUGAUCUUGCGCGUGUUGUCGCCCAAGCGACCAAAUAAACUGGAAUCGAAAAAGUGAAAUUAACUGUCUGCAACAAUUCUGGUGACAAGGAAGCGAGUCCCUGCGACGAGCAGCCGUUGAACUCAGUGCAAAAGGUCGAAAGAUCUCGGAGGUCGACUCAUUCGAAGGGACAUAUUUGAAAGGUUUGGGUACACCAUUCCUUCGUGUUCCGGUUACAGUCUGCAGCCAAGCGGGGGCGGGCAGGAGAAGUGCCUUCAUAUAUAUAUUCUUAUCUCGCUUUUUUUGCCCCUCCCUGAUACAACUGCGAACAGAUCGCGUCAUUCCGCUUUCAUAGACGGAUCGCGGGCCAAUGACUUCCAAUUGCGAAUCCAUACAAGAGGAAAAACUUCCACCCCCUCUUCCCAUUUGGUAGAUAGCCUGGUCUUCAAUCCAACGUGCAUGCAAUUUGUGAUCAAUUCAGAAACGAUGGAUGUGGUGCUUCGUGAUUCAUCGGGUGGACAUUUGCAAGCCUUGCUCGGGACUGGGCGCGGGGGUGUGGACUUACCAUCGGCACCGAUCCCUUGCGGAUUUCAACAUCGCAGAGCUCGCAGUCUCGGGUAGAGACCGAGUCGGGAAGCUCCAAGGACGCAGAAGGUUCGACUAGCCCCAACCCAGGGACCGAUCACCUGGCGCAGGGAGAGCUGACAUCCCCCCUGAUGCAGGAGCUUGAUGCCCCAAUGCAUAGGGCCCUACCGCCGGCUAUGGGAGCCAUGAUUGCCCCGUCAAUGGAAGGCUCGAGGCCCCCGAGGAGAACAAAGAAGGGAAGCGAUUUAACUAUUUUUUUCACAGUGAGGAAUGUGGAGGAGUCACUGUGGUGGAUGUUUAUGUUAAAAUGUAUUUUGUGUGUUCCGUUGCAUUUUAUUGGUAUGACUGGGGUGGGAGAUUGCAACCUUCACGUGGUCCACCCUGUUUUGACUAAUGCAAUCAACCCGACGUGCACACACAAAUAAAUCAAAUAGAACAAGUUGACCUCCUUUAGGCUGUGGACACCAUACGCAAGGAGAAGAAGAUUGGGAUGACUGUAUAGACUAAUCAAAUUCCUUGUAUGUUGCAUGAUAUACUUGACUAAUAAAGCAUGAUUAUGAUUAUGA